CCCUUAGAGUUUGAUCCUGGCUCAGAACGAACGCUGGCGGCGUGGAUUAGGCAUGCAAGUCGAGCGAGAACCGUAGUGCUAGCAAUAGUACUUGGGGACAGCGGCGAAAGGGUGAGUAAUAAGUAGUCAAUCUACCCAAUUGACCGGGAUAACGUCGGGAAACUGGCAGUAAUACAGGAUAGUCUUGAGAAUUCGCAUGUUUUCUCAAGUAAAUGGUGGCCUCUCAUAGAAGCUUCCGCAGUUGGAGGGGACUACUUCCUAUUAGUUUGUUGGUGGGGUAAUGGCCUACCAAGACAAUGAUGGGUAGCCGACUUUAGCGAGUGACCGGCCACACUGGGACUGAGACACUGCCCAGACUCUUACGGGAGGCUGCAGUCGAGAAUCUUCUGCAAUGAACGCAAGUUUGACAGAGCGACGCCGCGUGUAGGAUUGAAGGCCCUUGGGUUGUAAACUACUGUUACAGGUUAAGAAAUAUCAGGUUAUUAAUAGUAGCUUGGUUUGACAAAGGCCUGGGAGAAAGCCACGGCUAACUUCGUGCCAGCAGCCGCGGUAAGACGAAGGUGGCAAGCGUUGUUCGGAAUUACUGGGCAUAAAGCGCGUGUAGGCGGUCAAUUAAGUCUGAUGUGAAAGCCCUCGGCCCAACCGGGGAAUGGCGUCUGAUACUGAUUGACUUGAGAGUUGGAGGGGUGCACGGAAUACCUGGUGGAGCGGUGAAAUGCGUUGAUAUCAGGUGGAACACCAAAGGCGAAGGCAGUGCACUGGCC
rnacentral:rRNA from 1 species